rnacentral:rRNA from 1 species
UACGUAGGGUGCGAGCGUUAAUCGGAAUUACUGGGCGUAAAGUGUGCGCAGGUGGCCGCGCAAGUCGAGUGUGAAAUCCCCGAGCUUAACUUGGGAAUUGCGCUCGAAACUACGUGGCUCGAGUGUGGCAGAGGAAGGUGGAAUUCCACGUGUAGCGGUGAAAUGCGUAGAGAUGUGGAGGAACACCAAUGGCGAAGGCAGCCUUCUGGGCCAACACUGACGCUCAUGCACGAAAGCGUGGGGAGCAAACAGG